GCAUGGCGCAGUUGGCUAGCGCGUAGCUCUCAUAGCUAAAGCGAAUGAUCCUGAGGUCGAGAGUUCGAGCCUCUCUCGCC
rnacentral:tRNA from 1 species